AGCGGAGGAAAAGAAACUAACAAGGAUUCCCCUAGUAACGGCGAGUGAAGCGGGAAGAGCUCAAAUUUGUAAUCUGGCCCUUUCAGGGUCCGAGUUGUAAUCUCGAGAAGUGUUUUCCGCGCCGGACCGCAUACAAGUCUGUUGGAAUACAGCGUCAUAGUGGUGAGAGCCCCGUAAUUGAUGUGGAUGCCCGGUGCUUUGUGAUACACUUUCGAAGAGUCGAGUUGUUUGGGAAUGCAGCUCAAAUUGGGUGGUAAAUUCCAUCUAAAGCUAAAUAUUGGCGAGAGACCGAUAGCGAACAAGUACCGUGAGGGAAAGAUGAAAAGCACUUUGGAAAGAGAGUUAACAGUACGUGAAAUUGUUGGAAGGGAAACGCUUGAAGUCAGACUUGCUAUUCGGAAUUCAGCCGCAAGGUGUACUUUUCGAUUUGCAGGCCAGCAUCAGUUUUUGGGGGUGGAAAAGGGUGGAGAGAAGGUAGCAACCUUGGUUGUGUUAUAGCUCUUUACUGGAUUCAUCUUUGGGGACUGAGGAUCGCAGUGCGCAAUUUACUUUGCAAACCUUUCGAGGUUUUCGUACUUAGGAUGCUGGUGGAAUGGCUUUAAACGACCCGUCUUGA
rnacentral:rRNA from 1 species